rnacentral:lncRNA from 1 species
AUUCAGCUGUCACCUUUCUCUAAACAGUAUGGUCGGAAUGGAUAUUCUUCUUUUUGCAAGUACGUUUCAGGUGUUUUUGAGGGUCUUCAGCGCCGACGCGCAUACUCCAGUAAAGCCCGGAAGCAAAGAAGAAUUCAUAGAAGUACUUAACACAACUGACAAAAUCUGGCUGUACAAGCGACGGUCAACUUCAGAAGCAACGAACCGGCAUACGUGUCUUUAUUGGCAGAAAACAGCCUCCAUUGCGGAUGAUAAGUACGAAUUCACUGAAUCUUACUGGGAUGGAAGCAAGCUACAUACAGAAAAAUUAAGCGGAAACAUUACU